CCUGCAGGUGGCAGCACGAGUGCCGAUCGCUGUCAGGCGAGGGCGCUCAGGGGUGGGAGCCGAAGAGAGUAAUUUAGGGAUAGAGGUGAGAACGGAGUUAGACACAAAAGUAAGAUCACAUGAACUCCGACUUCGGAUGGAACACAUCAUCCAUUUAAACCCUCGAGCCGAGCUCAACUGGAAACUCCACCUAAGCUGGAAGAGACUUGAGCUUGCAAGUGAAAUAAGCCAGAGAAUUUUGAAGAUAUAAAAAGGAGGAAUACAGAAAAGGAGUGAUGUUAACAUAGAGAAACUCCAAAGUCGCAUCUCAAUUCCGUGUGGCGGGCAAAAAAUAAAGGAGCAGAUUGUGACAG
rnacentral:lncRNA from 1 species